GCCAGGUAUGGCAGUGUAUGUUUGUAUUCCCAGCUAUCAUGAAGGCCAAGGUUGGAGAAUCUCUUGCACUCUGUUGUUCUAUUAUGUGGUAGGCUGUGCUAAUCGUGCAUCUGCAUUAAGUUCAGUAUUAAUAUGGUGAACCCCCAGGAGCAGGAGAUCACUAGGUUGCCUAAGGAGGGUCAAAAAUAGAAUUAGUCAAAGCUCCCAUGCCCAUUUGUAAUGGGAUUGUGCUUCACUUCCAGGAUGGGUGAUUUGGUGAUACUAAGUAUUUU
rnacentral:SRP_RNA from 1 species